rnacentral:rRNA from 1 species
AUUGAACGCUGGCGGCAGGCCUAACACAUGCAAGUCGAACGAGUGGCGGACGGGUGAGUAACGUCUGGGAAACUGCCAGACGGAGGGGGAUAACUAUUGGAAACGGUAGCUAACACCGCAUACCAUUAGAUGAUCCCAGAUGGGAUUGGCUUGUUGGUGGGGUAACGGGUCACCAAGGCAACGAUCCCCAGCUGGUCUGAGAGGAUGAACGGCUACACUGUAACUGAGACACGGUCCAGACUCCUACGCGAGGCAGCAGUGGGGAAUAUUGCACAAUGGGCGAAAGCCUGAUGCAGCCAUGCCGCGUGUGUGAAGAAGGCCUUCGGAUUGUAAAGUACUUUCAGCGGGGAGGCGUUACCCGCAGAAGAAGCACCGGCUAACUCCGUGCCAGCAGCCGCGGUAAUUC